rnacentral:rRNA from 1 species
UACGUAGGGUGCAAGCGUUGUCCGGAAUUAUUGGGCGUAAAGAGCUCGUAGGCGGCCUGUCACGUCGACUGUGAAAACCCAGGGCUCAACCCUGGGCCUGCAGUCGAUACGGGCAGCUAGAGUGUGGUAGGGGAGACUGGAAUUCCUGGUGUAGCGGUGGAAUGCGCAGAUAUCAGGAGGAACACCGAUGGCGAAGGCAGGUCUCUGGGCCAUUACUGACACUGAGAAGCGAAAGCAUGGGGAGCGAACAGG